UAAGUGAAAUAAACCAGUCUGAAAGGGCUGUCUACUGUAUGAUUCUAAUUACAUGGCAUUUUGAAAAAGGCAAAACUAUAGAGAUAGUAAAAAUAUCAGUGGUUGUCAGGGGUUCAGGGUCUGAGGAGAGGGUUGAGUAGGUGAACCAGAGAGGAUUUGGAGAGAAGUGAAACUAUUCUGUGCGAUACUGCACUUGUGCUUUGUCAAAACCCUUUGAACUUUAUGUUAGCAAGAAUGAUCCUAAGUGUAUGCAAUUAAAAAAAAAAUUUAGGAGGAAAGAAAAAUUCCAAAAUAGAAUGCAUAAUGUAAUUUUUAAAUCUAACUAUAUU